UAGUGAUAUGGAGGGUGCUCUACGUGCUUCGGUGGUGGAGGUGGUGAUUUGUAAACAUAUGGUGGAGGAGGUGAAGGAGAGGGUGGUGGUGGUGAUUUAUAAUGAUAUGGAGGGUGUUCUACGUGCUUUGGGCGGUGGAGGUGGUGAUUUGUAAACGUAUGGUGGAGGAGGUGAAGGAGAGGGUGGUGGUGGUGAUUUAUAAUGAUAUGGAGGGUGUUCUACGUGCUUUGGUGGUGGAGGUGGUGAUUUGUAAACGUAUGGCGGAGGAGGUGAAGGAGAGGGUGGUGGUGGUGAUUUAUAAUGAUAUGGAGGGUGUUCUACGUGCUUUGGUGGUGGAGGUGGUGAUUUGUAAACAUAUGGUGGAGGAGGUGAGGGAGAGGGUGGUGGUGGAGACUUGUAGAUAUAAGGUGGUGGUGGAGAUGGAGAUGGUGGAGGAGGAGACUUAUAGACGUAAGGUGGAGGUGGUGAUGGUGACGGAGGUGGUGGUGACUUAUAAACAUAUGGAGGAGGCGGUGAUGGAGAUGGUGGUGGUGGUGACUUGUAAUAGUAAGGUGGGUGCUUGACAUAUUUUGGAGGUGGAGGAGACUUAUAAUAAUAAGGAGGAUGUUUCACGUACUUUGGUGGGGGAGGAGGCGAUUUGUAAUAGUAAGGCGGAUGCUUGACAUGCUUAGGAGGCGGAGGAGGAGAUUUGUAGUGAUAUGGAGGGUGUUUUACAUAUUUAGGUGGCGGUGGUGGAGAUUUGUAAUAGUAAGGCGGAUGCUUGACAUGCUUUGGUGGGGGAGGAGGAGACUUGUGGUGAUAUGGAGGGUGUUUUACAUAUUUAGGUGGUGGUGGAGGAGAUUUGUAAUAAUAAGGUGGAUGCUUAACAUGUUUUGGAGGUGGAGGAGGAGACUUAUAAUGAUACGGAGGAUGUUUUACAUAUUUUGGUGGUGGUGGAGGAGACUUAUAAUGAUAAGGUGGAUGUUUGACAUACUUGGGCGGUGGAGGAGGAGACUUGUAAUGAUAUGGUGGGUGUUUCACAUACUUCGGUG
rnacentral:lncRNA from 1 species